UUGUUUAGAGGAGCUUUUAACUGUUGCAGGUUCUCCUAAAAUCAAAAGCUCCCCAAACAGUACAACUUUUGGUUCAGAUUCUGAGAAGCUAUAGUUAUAGAAUCCAGAAAAUGAACUAGAAACCAGAUUCUUAGAAGCUGCCUACCAAUCAGCUGCUUAUCAGAAUCUUAAGCUCUCUCAAAUAGGCCCUCACUAUCAUUUGACAAGUUGCUGACAUGUGGGUCUCAUAGCUCAUAGUAGUGACUCAUGUUAGAGGAGCUUCCUCUGCAAAUAAAAUAUGGCUUUCAUCUUUUGUCCUAUAGCUUACAAGCCACUACUAAAUUUUGAUUUUUAAAACACAUUUUAAAAUUGAAUUUUAUGCUUUUUAUUAAUGUUUAUUUUUAGCAUUGGCUUUUACAGUUUUAUAUGAAUUUACAUAUUCAAAAUUGUACUUCUAUUUGACUUUAUUUUGUGUUAUAUAUGCACUCUUCUUUUUCAUUUUAUUUAUAUUGUUUGACAGGGCUCUAAAUCUCAAAUCGUUGUCUAGAGAAGGUAGAGUUGAAUCAAACACUAAGUGAUAAAAAAAAUAGACACGAGCAAGACGUGGAGCGAAGAUGAAAGCAGCAUUAGAGGCGGGGCAAUCUUGCCUUGCCCUGAACUUAGUUCUACGUCAGUACUAGAAAACCAUUUACAUGUGACUAAAACAAGUUUUCGUAGGCGGCUAACGCUCCGCCUGUAUGCUAAGGCUUGCUAAAAUCAUUGAUUUUUGCAGGCGGAGCCUCCAACCAAUUACAAAAAUCGAUUUUCUCAAAUAGGCAUCCUAAGAGCCCCACCUGGGAAAAUCCACUUUUCACAGGUGGCGCUCUAAUAUCACCCCGCGUGUAAAAGGUAUUUUGGGGCAAAAAAAAAAAGGGGGAAAUGUUCAAUUUUCAUUGCAUGCAAGCAUCAUAUUCAAAUUAGAAUCAGAUCCAUAGACAAACAAGAAAAGACAAGUAUAAACAAGAACAACAUCGAACACAGCUAUAAUUAGAUCCACUAGAACAAACAAUAGGUUACAAACAAGCUGAUGAAUAAUCGGCCUCCCCUGAGCCCGCAGACGAUGAUCCACCUCCCCUGAGCUUGUUGGCAACGGAUCGUCGGCCUCCCCCAAGCUCACCGGCGAUGGAUCCACCUCCCCCGAGCUUGUUCCUAGAAAUCGUCACAUCAUCGAGGUCGUCGUCACCACCCAAGGCUGUUGGCUUCUGAUGCGGCCUCUCGAGGCUCGUCGACUAUGGGCUUAGUUGGUAGAGGCGGGCGGGAGCAGAGGAGGAGAUGCGCCAAACCCCUUCACUGAGCCGCCGCUACGCCCCUCCUUCCCGCUUUGCAGCCGUCGCUGGUGGGCCGCUUUGUUGAGUUGCCGCGAGCCAUGCUCGCUUUGCAGUCACCGCCGCCGGGCCUUUUCGUGGAGUUACCGCUGCUCCAUGCCGACCGGUGAGAGAGAGAUAGGAGAGGGAGAACCGGAGAAGGAGAGGGAGAGGAGAGGAUAAGUGUGGAAGAUGAAGAGGGAGAGAGAGGAGAGGAUAAGAAAGGAGUGGUACGAGAGUGAGAGGAUAAUUUUGGGAAAAAGAAUAUAGUUGGCUGAUUUUUUUAUCUUUGGUAGCGGUGCUCCUAAUAUGCCGUCUGCAAAAAUUUCAAUUGUUGUAGACAGUCCUUUUAAGAGGUUCGCUUGCAAAAAUGUUUUUAUUUUUCCAGGUAACCAGUAUAAAACUACUUUAUACGGAAAUCAAUUUUCGCAGGCAGGUUUUGAUCAGGUACAACUUUAUAUAUUUGUACGAACGAUCAUAAUUGGGAACGUUUUAGCCUGCCUGCAGAAAUAAAUAUGGUGUCUGUGAAAAUGGUUUUUAGUAGUGCGUUUGUCUCGCUUAUAUGUUUUAGGAGCUCCGAUCUAGCCAAACGUCAUUCCCGCAUAGAUCUAAUGGUGGUGGUGAUCUUUAUAAUUAUUUUUACUUUAUCCGCUCUUAAUAUAUUUAUCUUCUACUUAGAUAAACUCCAAUGCAGUGAUCAUUAAAAAAUAAAUUUAUUUUGAGAUAAACAGAAAGAGUGAAAAAAAUAGUUAUUAUGAGAGAUGUAGCAGUAAGUUAUUGCCAUAACUAGUCUCUGUACGUAGAUCUACGUCAAAACAUACGACUACACGGGUACGGUAAUAUAUACAGUACCCCCUGUCAUUAAGCAUUUAAGCUCAAAUAAAAGGCGAGUCACGUCGCUCUCCUACAUUGACCACGGAGCUUCUCUUAGGGCACCCACAAUGGUUAUCUAUAAGCUCUCUAUAAGAGAUCCAUGUCAGUAUAUUUUCCUACUUGGAAGAUAUUAAAUGAAGAGAGAGAGCAAAGCUAUCUACUAACAUAGAGAUAGUCUAUAGAGAAAAACGAGGCAAUGCAUGAGAGAGCUAUAGAUAACUAUGUAGACAUACUGUUAAGGUGAUUUACUAUUAAUCUAGUCUAUUGCUGAGAUGUACAUGUUUUAUAGAUAGCACCUUACUUUACCAUUGUAGGUGCUCUUAGGUAUGGAGUAGCAGUAGACUAGCAGUAGGUACGUCGUUGCCGUACGUAGUAGUACUACUCAACUGCCUGAUCCGAUCGAACGAGGUGAUUAAUUAACAAGUUAUCUAACCAGACAAUCAGUAAUCACACAGAGAGCAGUUACUAAUAUUAUCACAUAUUAUCGCAUCUCGUACUAAAUUAACUUAUUAUGUGACGGAGGAAAUACCGCAUAUUUCACUGGUGAUUACUCUGUUUUCUGAUACCCCUAAGCACUAAUUAUAGUAAAACUUCCUAUAGACAAUAAUAAAAUGAAUUACCCAAAUGCCCGGCCUAGUGAGACAACCGCGACACAAGUAGUACAAUUCUACGUGCAUCAGGAAAGGGAGUUUACUUGGCACUUAGCUUCUGUAUGUAGGCUUUGAUCAGGACCAUUUUAGUAGUAUCUAAGCUCGGUAACAACUAAAACAACCAUUAAAAGGGCAUAAAUGUGAUGUCUAGCUAAAGUUUCAUAAGCUAAACAGAAACCUAUACAAAUAUCCGGUGUAUCCUUAACUUCGGUGCUCCCAUACUUCCUUAACUGCAAUUACGGUCGAUUGGGUUGACGUGUUAAGAAAACCCUAGUUAGCGAUGACGGUGUGCAAUAUUGCAGAUUAUUUGCAGCCAAAGUGGGUUCGAGCAAGAGAAGCGUUCGUGUUGUGAUGGUGAAGUCGUGUAUGUAUGGUUUAGCAAAUUGGGGGAAUUUGGAACAAUUCAGGUAUUUCACGUAAUUAAAGUAGAAAAAAAGGAUGGUAAAUUUCUUCGUUAACUGAAUUUAGAAUAAAAAAUUCAAAAUAAAUAAAUAAAAAGAAAUAUGAACUACGACUCAAAACUCUAAUGACCAUGAAUAAUAUGUACAUGGUACACACGGAUGCUUUUUUAACAGAGUUUAGUGAGGUUAGCUCUUUGAGCAUGACACACCUAUGGCAUUAUACACACAUGUACCCUAGAGACACCCACAAUCGUCCCCCCUACAACAUAUGCCACAUAUGAGGCAGCUUGGGCUUAAGCCCCACAUGGGACUUAAAAAAAUGAAUGAAAAAACACUAAACAUCAUAGAAAAUUUGAACAUAAUAAACAAUAAACAGAACUAUAUGGUUGAACCUUACCCUUGAUAACUUCCUGCCUUCGCCCCUGUCCUUCCCAAAUCCCUAAUCUCACAUGUACACACUUGAGUCCCUAAAACAUACUCAAAUAAAUGGCAAAUUCCCAACCUAACUAAUAUAUUAUAUAUUAAAAAUCCAUGAAACUUCCUACAAACGCUCCUUAGCCAUCACGUAUCCUUCUACAAACGUUUCUAAGUUGCCAAGUGGCAGUCUAAAAUCUAACCAUUGAUUUUCCUUUAAAUUAGUGGGUCUAAUAUUACCAACCAUUAGAUCAAAUAAAAAAAAUAAAACCCUCCUCUCCACACCGGUCCCCAUGUCACGCCCCAAACUAGUCCCGACCGGAACUAGCCCGUGACGCUCCAAAUUAACCUAUUAAUCGAUACCAGUCCCAGAAAACAGUGCUGGUAUCACAGGAAGACAGAUUAUCACAGCAACAGAGGUCUCUUUAUUAUAGAGUAGGAGUACAAUCAAGUCGGGCUGCGGACAGAUCCCGAGCUCACAACUGCAUUACAAAAGGGAAGCGGAAGCCAAGACUUGGACCAAACAACACAGGCGCGACUUGGAAACUAGGCCGAAACCCUAAAACUCAUCGUAGCCGGCUUGCUCCUGGAAGAACUCCUCGUCAGCGGGAUCCGCUUCAUCUUCUUCAGCAACUGGGGGGGAUUAUUUAUAUAGAGCAAGGGUGAGUACGGGAGUACUCAACAAGCCAUGGGAAAUAAGUGUUUAAUGCAGGCUUCAAAGAAAGGGCUGUUGUUUUUGCAAUUGAUUUUAUUUGAACUCUUUUCUGAAAACAACUAAGUGAGUGCUUCUCAAACGACACGGAUGAGACAGUGCGUCUCGUCCGGUCGGAGUAUGUGCAAUGUAUCAGUCUUUAAAAUUGAUCAAGAUUGGCACCCGGCCAACAACUUUCAAACGGCCACCCGGGCCAACAACUUUCAAACGGCCACCCGGGCCUAGCCGAUCCCAUCAGCUGCAGAUUUUCCAAACAACGAUCCCCUUUUCACAACAGCAAUUUCACAAGGCAGUAGUCAAACAAAACUACGCUAGGAAUCACCUCACAUCCGCCCAUGACCGUGGGCACGGCUGUUCGAACAGUUUGUUAACCUCUGCAGAGGGGGUACACUUUACCCACACGACAUUACUAACCCGGAUCACCCAGCCCGUGGGGAUCAGCCACGUCGGGAGACCUCCAAGCUUUCAUGACAAGGCAUUUCCAAAGCCGACACAGAUUUACCAUAUGCCGACGAGAGGGGUCCCAGACCAACAACAGGUUAGGUCCCAGACCAUACUGUGCCAGGAAGCCCAGGGGUCCUCCCCGACACCACCCCGGCGAAUCCACAUGUCUCUCGGCAUCAAGGCUCCCCUGAUAAGCUAAUUACUUAGCCAGGGGUGUCCCAUUCCACCCAUGUGGUCGUACUUGUCUUAUGUUCGGAUGAAAUUCCAAGGAAACGGUCCUUAAGUGCAAGAGCGGGAAACCGUACACCCGGUACGUUCCCCGGUCCGCGGUUUUGAAAAUUCAUUUAGUUCGCAAGCACCGACCCAGGUGUCGGGUUUUCCAAGCCUUUUGUAAAACCCAAGUUUUACCCAAGAAGUUUUUUCAGAUUUUAAGUUUGAAGGCGACCGUCGAUACUCGCACAGGGUGCACGAAUAUCGAGGCGCAACUAGAUGGUUACAAGGGGACAUGAUAUAACAAUUAACAAAGGAAGGAUCAAAUGCAACAAAUUAGGUAGGUCCGUCAAUCUGCCUUGCAGACGGGACAAACAGAUUAAGUGCGAUCCUAUCAAUGCAUAAUAUUUUUCAAGCAACAUAAUUAAAUUCAAAUAUAGGCUCAAGAUGUUCAAAGGUGGCUUGCCUUGCUCGAGAUCUGGAGCUUGAUCCUCGAAAUCCUCGCACUGCGGGUCUUCGGGCUCCGAAACUAUACGCAAAACGGGACAACUCAACAAACGGCGAAAAUAAAGCCCUAUUAAUGACCUCUAAGCGUGCCAUUAGAUAGAUCUAGAGAUUUGAGGAAUUUUGGAAGUUGAACAGAGUCAAACGGACUUACGGUUGGGAAGAUAUUGAAUUUCUAAGAUUAUUGGAUUUUUGGUCUAAAGGAAAAGGAUUUAAUUAAACCCUUUUGGAAAAAGAAAAGGAAGAGGGAGGGGAAAUAAACUUCCCUCGGGCGGCUAGGGCGCGACCCGAGAGAAAAGGGGCGGCUCGGCCGAGCUAAAUGGGCCGGCCUGCCCAAGAGGACACGGCCCAAUAGGGCGCGGGGAGGGGAGAGAGAGGGCGCCGGUGGACCGAGUCCAUCUCGCGUGGUCCCGGGUGGGACCCGCUUGUCAGCGGCUCGGCUCACCGUGCGGAGGGAGCACGCGGCGCGGCGCUAGGGUGUGGAGCGGGGCGCGGCGCAUGCGUGCGGUUCGCGGUGGACGCGGAUGCGGCGGGCCCACGCGCAGCCUCACGGCUCGCGGUGGACCGCGCCCGCGAGCGGGGCCGGAGGGAGCGGCUGACCGGGGUCGGCUCGACCCGGUCUUGGCCGAGCUGGCGCCGACGUGGCGCCUACGUGGCAGCCACGCGGGCCGGCGGGAGGUUGAAGAAGACGCCGGCCGGAAUAGACGGCGGACGGCGGUGGCGAGCGGCGGAGCGAAACACGGCGAUCUAGGCGAAAGCGAGCACACCGGCUGGUUGCGCGGGACGAGGGGAGUCGAGCCAACGGCUCGGAUUUGCCGGGGGAUGCUCGACGGCAGCGGAUUGCGGCGGCGGCAACCGGCGGCGGAAGAAGAGGGAAACGGCGACGAGGUCACGAGGGGCCGAUUCCCGGCGGCGAGAGCAUCUACGCGGCUACGGGAAUCCGAUGCUAGCGUUGGAUUGGGCGGAGCUACGCCGAGCGAGGCCGGCGAUGAGUGGCGCUUCCGAGCUCGGGCGGCGACAGCGGCGAGCACACGGCGAGCGAUGGCAGCAGUCGGGGCGGCGACGGCUAGCUACGGGGAGGCUACUCGUGCUACUACCCGAGUCUAAGGGGAGGAGAAGGAGCGAGGAGGAAGAACGGAGGGAGGCACUACCGUGCGGGCGGGCGCAGUUGUCACGCCCGGAAAUUCACUAGUAAUUUCCGAACUUAUUUGUGCAUAAAAUCCUCGUCCAGGAAUCAGCCGAGGUACACAAACUGACAAUUUAAUAUACAAAUCCAUCAUAAUAAUAACGUUAGACACUUACAAGAGAAAAGAAAACAGCAGCGGAAUAACGGUCUAGCGAUGGCUUCAGCCCCACUCCCACAGGCAGCUCAACUGGGGUAUAAGCCAAACGUCUUCUCCUUCUGGAUCCUUUUUCUUCAACUGAGGUUGAUUGAUUAUUGCAAGAAUGAGCAUAUGACAUACUCAACAAGCCACACAACAAAUAUGCAAGUGUACAAGGAUACCAAAGGAUGGCAUAAUAUAGGCUCAUUUGCAAAAGCAGCAUUUAGCAAAACAUUUAAGAAAAAUAAAACAGUGGAGUAAUUAAUCAGAAAUUUUAAUCAACACUGAGCAACACACCCAUGCUGCACAGGCCCAACCAUCCUGAACAACCACACCCGGCUAAACAGAUCUAACUCCAAACCAGGAGCUAAACAAUUUAUUACCAGGUAUAACAUCCAUAAUUAUUGUGAGAGGUGUGAGACUAAUCACGAAAAACAUUGCUCAACCCGCCCAUAACCGCGGGCACGGCUAUUCGAAUAGUUUUACUCUGAUCAGAGGUGUACCACUGUACCCACAAGACACAGCCUCAACAUCAUGUCUACCAUGCGUCGCGAUACUGGAAAGUACCCGAAUAGAGGCUGUGACAAUACCCUCUGCACAACACAACUCACCACAGUGCACCAUUCCUGGAUCAUAAUCACCCCCUUAUAAAACAAGGCAUGGACUCCCCAGCGACCCCCGUGGGCUUAUCUCCGCCACUUCUCAGUCUGGUGCUCCGCAAUGAAUCAUGUUAUACAAAAGGUAAAGCCGUUGCCCACGCUGGCUUGUGGUUGGCACGGUUAAUGUUUCACAACAGUAGCUCGCGAACCGGUCCUUAAUUGUCAUGAGCACGACUCUCAAAACCAUGUGCUCACAACCCACCAUUAUCAAGUUUUAGUUGGCAAGUAAUUAAUUAACCAAUCACGAUUAACCAUCGUGAACUAUCAUUAAGCCAUCAUUAAAUAAUAGUGAGUCAUAAGUUAUCCCAAUAGUGUGCCAAUGUUUCUAAGCAUGGCUAAGCAAUUACAUCUAAUAUCUAGCUGAACCAAUAUAUAAAGCUCAACUAGUCAAGUUAUAAUAACCCAAGGUAUCAAGGAAUAAAGUAAUCAAUGCAAACAGGCCAUAACAAAGGAAUAGAUUCACACCACCCAGUGACAUUCGAAAAUAAAUGCACAGUUGAAAUAAAUAGAGAAUUUAAAUAUAGGAUCAACAUGCUCAAAGGAUUGUGUUUAGGAUCUGUGUGACUUGCCUUGCAAUAAUCGGUCUUCAAUUAAUCUUCUUGAAUACUUCCGGCGCACUCACGAACCUUCGCAACGACGGAAACGACAAGCUAACACGCAAAACGAAGAAAAAUACUAAUAAAAACCAAAUAAACAAUACAUAAAAAGUAAACAAACAUGUAGAUCAUAAUUUUAGAUGAAUUAUGAGACUUGAACGGCCUCAUUCUGACUUCAUAUGAAUUUAUUAUGAAUUUUACAAGAUUAAAUCUAAUUAAAGCCCAUUUAAAAAGAAUUAAAUAAAUUUAAUUCAAUUUAUGGAUAAUUUUAAUAUGUAGAUCUUUAUUUUAUAUAACUUUUGCAACUUGAACCACAUUAUUGCGUCAGCGGCUAGGGUUUGCGGUGGACCGGGUGCACGGCAACGGUUCACGGGAACGAACGGCCGAGAUCAACCCUAUCCAAAACGGACGGCCGAGAUCGAUCGGGUCUACGGCGGCUUACGGGGAAACGAUGACGAUGGCGUCGACGAUGACGUCACCACCGGCGGCGGCUCGGCGGCUCUGGCGCGCAUGCUCGCCGGCGAACGACGGCACGGCGGCGCGAACGGAGGACACCAAAACGGUGCGGGCAUCGCGGCGAACUCACCGGUGACCAAAGCAACGGCGGAGGAGCAACGGACGACGUCGGCGACGAGGUCGAAGCGGCGGAGAAGAUCGGGUCGACAGCGGCGACGGUGCUCCGGCGGUCUUCAACGACGGCGAAGGGGCGGACGAGGACGGCGACGCGACGGCGACCACGACGGUGACCUCCCCAAGCGACGGCGACGACUGGAGCGACGGCGGCGCACGGCUGGAGCGGCGGCGACAACGGCGGCGUGAGGCGGCUCGGCGCUAGGGCUCUACCGGCGACGAGAGGCGAAGGCGAGGGUGGCGGCGGGUAGAGGAGACACCGGGGGUCCUUUUAUAGGGGCAAGGAGGCGGCGGCGAAGGCCCACGGCGACCGGCGACGCGAAGGAAACCUCGGGUUCGGAGGAAAGAGACCGAUCCGAUUCGACCUCGAAUCCACGAACUUCCAAAGCGAUUUAGACGACGCUUCCAAAAGAGAAAAGGAAGAGGAGAUCGCGAAGAUCGUUUCCCCUCAAUCGAUUCGGCCGGAAAAGGAAAGGAGCGACCGAAUUGGAAAGCGGCGGCGGCGCUAGUGUUUCGGGCGGCGGCGGCCAGAGGUAGACGAAGACUGACAGGUGGGUCCCGCCUGUCAGCGACCAAACGCGCGCGCGCGGCGGCUGCGGACUGGGCCGACUUGGGCCGGGGAGAGAGAGAGGUUUUGGGCCGGCUUUCGGCCCAAAGCCAAAAAGAGACUUUUAAAAACCUUUUUCAAUUUAAAUUAUUCAUGAAAUGCAAUUCUAUUUAUUAAAAAUACUUCCUUAGCUCAAAUAAAUCCCAGAAAAAUCUAGGAAUUAUAGAAUUAAGCAAAGUAUUUAAUGAAAUUUUAUCUGGCCCCAUUUUAUAUUGAGAUUUAUUAAUUAAAAUUAGAUCUUCUCUUCUAGGCUUUUAAAAUAAAUUCUAAUAAUUCCAAUUAAACAACAAUUUAUAAUUUAAGGAUUUUUAAACAAGAAAAGCUCUUAACAAUUAUAAUUAGAUUAUUAAUGAUCAAAUAAUUACUGAACUGUUCUUUGUAUCAUUUAGGAAUUGAGCUCUGAAAAAUCCGAGAAAAUUUCAGAGAGUUGACUUAAUCAUGGAGAAUUUAAUAAAAAUUAAAUCCAUCCAUGCUUUAUAUUUAAGAAAUUUUAUUUCCCACAUUUAACUUCACUUGUAAAUUAAAGAACAUUUAAUAUAAAUUCUAUUAUUAAUUUAUUAAAUAAUUUAUAAAUCCUGAAACAAAAAUCAGGAUGUGACAGCAGUGACGAGAGCCGACAGCGCGAAACGUGAUCAUUUCGGCCUCGGGCCGAGGAAGAGGAGGAAGAGGGUGCGGCCGAAGUCCCCUUCCACGUCCUUGCUCGUGCCGGCUCCUCCGACACGCGCAACGACGAACGGCGAUGGCGAACAGGGGCGACAGUGGCGGCGAGAGACGAAAACGAGGGAGAUUGGAGGGGGAGGAGCUUGGGUUUAAAUGGGCGACAAGGUCGGUUUGGGAGAGAGGAACCGACAUUGGACGGUCAAGCCGGCGAGCUGGCGCUCCAGCUAGCGGCCAAAACGGCGACAGGAGGUGACGCCGGCGAGAGGGAAAAAGGGAGAAAAGGGGGAGAGAAAGGGGGCUUGCCCCCUUGCCACCUUGGGAAAAGGAGGAGGGAGAGAGGGCGAUGAGGAGGAGCCCUGCUUCCUUUCCUUGGAAGCAUGCGCGGGGAGAGGCGGGGCCGAGUCGAUGACGACGACGAUGACGGCGGAGCGGUUUGGAGCGGAGCGGCGACACGGGCGACAGGCGCGGGCAGGCGCGGCAGAGGCUGACGGCGGUGGCGACCAGGCGGUCGGCCAUCACGGCACGCGCGCGCGGGAAGCAACGGGCGGCUCGGGCACGCGUGCUGGCUCGCGGGGCCGAGCGGCCGCGCGGCUGCAGGCGCGGCAGGGCAGCGGGGCCGGGUGACGCAGACGGCGCAUGCGCGGCACAGGCGGCGACUACGAGGGCGCGCACACGUGAACAACGGCGCGCGGGGGCCGAGUCGGAGGGCUCGGCUCGGCGCGGCUCACGCGCACGCGCGCACGGCGCGCGGGCAGAGCGGAGAGAGAGAGCCGGGAAGGGAGGGAGAGAGAGAGAGAGAGAGAGCCGGGGAGGGAGGGGAAGAUGGGCCGAGAGAGAUUCGGCCCAACGAAUCCGAGGGAGGCAAAAUAGACUUUUGCGGAGGGAGUUUCGGGAAGGAUUUGGAUUCGGGAUUGAACUCAACGAUAGAUCGGAGAUUUGAGAUCUGAGAUGGCACGGACACUAGACAACAAGCAAAGAAACAGAUUUCGUAAAUAGGGUUUUUAAGAGAUAGUUUUCCUGCUAGGCGCCACGACGGAACGGGCGCUACACCCCACCUCCUCUAUAUUCCCCUCCUGACCUCCACCUGUACGUACUACCUCACUCCCCUCAUCUCCUCUUCCCUUUCCUAAUCUUCAAUUUCAAUAGUUACAUGUCUUAUUUAAUUCAAGAUAUAUUUAUUCUAUGAGCCAUAUUCUUUGCAUAUCAACCAAAUAUAACAACGAACUAUUUUUUAUUUAAAAAAGUUGAUAACAUAUAUUAUAUGUCAACUUAAAUAAUUCUACAAAUAUGUUUCAACGAUAUCUAACCUUUCUAUUAUUAUAUACUCCAUCCGUCCCAUAAUAUAAGGGAUUUUGAGUUUUUUCUUGUAACGUUUGACCACUCGUCUUAUUCAAUUUUUUUAAAAUUAUUAUUUAUUUUAUUUGUGACUUACUUUAUUAUCCACAGUACUUUAAGCACAACUUUUCGUUUUUUAUAUUUGCAAAAAAAAAUAAAUAAGACGAGUGGUCAAACGUUGUAAGCAAAAACUCAAAAUCCCUUAUAUUGUGGGACGAAGGGAGUAGUAAAAGUCCAUGAAAAUUUCUAUAAUGCUCCUAAGCCACCAUAUGAUGCUCAUAUAAAUGCUCCUAUGACACCACGUGACGUUCCAAUAAAUUAUAGAAAAUCUGAGAAAAAUAACAACUAGCCUUUGAUUUCUCUAAAAUUAAUAGGCCCACUACUCCAAGCCAUUGGAUUAGAUUGAUUUUUCUCAUUCUAACAAAGAGACGUCCCCUCUUCCCAUGCAAGUAGCGUGCGUGCAAACAAUACGCACAUACAUACCUCCUCUCCGUUUCUGUUUUAAGGAAGUUCUUUUUCUGUCGGACCAAAUUAUACGUUCUAUUUAUAUCAUUAUGUUAUUUAUGAUUAAAAUCACAAAUUACAAUUAAUCACAAAUUAGAAUUUAAUACACCCGUUGACUAUAAUUUAGCUUGUAAAAAUUAUGAAAAGACAUUAUAUAUCAUUAUGAAAAAUUCUACAAACAUGCAUAGCUAAAUUAAAUCAAUAUUAUCAGAACAAAAUUUUCAUAUUUAAUUUGCCAAAAGGAAAAGAAAUAAUUCAACAACACAGGGACGCACCAUGACAUGUUUUGAAACAUGUAUAGCUAAAUUAAACGUUCACUACGUAAACAAGAAUAGUUUGAGCCGCUGCAUAAAAAAUCGAGUGCCUUUAAUUAGAGAAAAUAUUCCAAUUUUUUUCUAAAUGUGCUCAAAUAAUCCAAAUAAAAAAUGAUCUUUCAUAAGUUCCAAUUAAAAUUUCACCUUUAUAAGUUUUCAAACAUAGUGUACGGUGCAUGCCCGCGCGAAUGCGUGGGCUACCUUCCUAGUUUCUAUUUAAAACACAACUAUGUUUGUGUAAUGUAUAUUGAUAGAGUUUGAACCCUAGCCACCACCACUUCACUUCAAGCACAUCCGCAUACCACAACUUUAUUGGUGCUUCUCCACCUUAAAAUACUAUUCUAAUAACAUUGUAAAACAUACCGUUUAGUUGGUACCUUAUAUUCAAAAUUUUGGUCUCGCCAUGGUCCCUGCCUUCCCGGUGUGGCAGAUGUACUGCAACCAUGUCAAAAAGGUUUUGUUUUAUUAAAAAACAAAGUGAAUUUUCUUAAAUUACCUUCGAAAGUUCAAAAAAAAUAAAAAUGUUUUUCCUAACUGUUUCUCGCUGAAGUUCAAUUAUACAGAUAUGAUGUAAAACAUACGAUUUCAUACAUUUCAACGGUUCAACCAAGUUAUAUGGUACAGUUAGAGAUUGUAUACACGCUGGAUUUUGGUGUCUUGUAAGGGAAAUGCCAUAUUUUUAGUAGCAUACGAGGAAACUCAAGAAUUUGAGUGCCACGUAAGCUAUUUCCAAAAAAAAAUAUGUUGCUUGAAGAAUGUAUUGUUUAUGAAAUUCUAUCUUUUGCAAGGGAUGGCGGUAGUGAUCUCUUUUAAGGUUGUGGACUUGAAGAAGACGUAGUGGCAAAGCUUUUGCCAAAGGUUGCCGUCAGGCUUCAACAAGGGUGAAAUUGUUGGCUAUGGUGGUGAAGGCAUAUCAAUACCCUUAAGGAAACGGUAGCAUCGAUCUUCAACGGGGAUGGCUUGCUUUAGUAGGGGACAGUGUGUCAUUGGGUGUGAGUGUGUCAUUGGGUGUGAGGGAUAAUAUUUAGAUGGCAUAAGGAGGGUAAAAUCUAUUCAGUGUGCUCUCUCUCUCUAUUUGGUCUUAACUAGAGACCCUUUCGUAAGUCGUCCGAUGAUGGCUAAGAUAUAUAUAAACACAUGAAUGUUAUAUUGACCAAGAAACAGAUAAACGAGACCACUUGCUAGAAAAAGAGGACCACAUACUAUCUACUAGUUGUCAUGUCAAUUCACGUGCAUACUACUGAGGCUAACAUACCGUUACAAAAGUAUAUUUUCCUUUGGUAUAGGAUCUUUGAUGAGUUAUAUUUUUUAGAAGUAUAUUAUUCAUAUAUUAUUUGUAAGAUCCGUUUGAACCAUCAUACUCCACUUAAAAUAUGUGACAAAAUGAGUCUAAUAGGGCGUGUUUGGUUGCCUGGACCGCACCUGGCCCGCAUCUGGCGUGCAACCUGCAGGUUGUUUGGUUGCUUGGACGGGGGACUCAGCCAGGCCUAGGAGAUGCAAAAAGGCCCG
rnacentral:lncRNA from 1 species